GAGGCAAUAGAGGGUAUGCUAUAAUGCAAGUCGACGAACUCUGGUAUUGAUUGGUGCUUGCAUCAUGAUUUACAUUUGAGUGAGUGGCGAACUGGUGAGUAACACGUGGGAAACCUGCCCAGAAGCGGGGGAUAACACCUGGAAACAGAUGCUAAUACCGCAUAACAACUUGGACCGCAUGGUCCGAGUUUGAAAGAUGGCUUCGGCUAUCACUUUUGGAUGGUCCCGCGGCGUAUUAGCUAGAUGGUGGGGUAACGGCUCACCAUGGCAAUGAUACGUAGCCGACCUGAGAGGGUAAUCGGCCACAUUGGGACUGAGACACGGCCCAAACUCCUACGGGAGGCAGCAGUAGGGAAUCUUCCACAAUGGACGAAAGUCUGAUGGAGCAACGCCGCGUGAGUGAAGAAGGGUUUCGGCUCGUAAAACUCUGUUGUUAAAGAAGAACAUAUCUGAGAGUAACUGUUCAGGUAUUGACGGUAUUUAACCAGAAAGCCACGGCUAACUACGUGCCAGCAGCCGCGGUAAUACGUAGGUGGCAAGCGUUGUCCGGAUUUAUUGGGCGUAAAGCGAGCGCAGGCGGUUUUUUAAGUCUGAUGUGAAAGCCUUCGGCUCAACCGAAGAAGUGCAUCGGAAACUGGGAAACUUGAGUGCAGAAGAGGACAGUGGAACUCCAUGUGUAGCGGUGAAAUGCGUAGAUAUAUGGAAGAACACCAGUGGCGAAAGCGGCUGUCUGGUCUGUAACUGACGCUGAGGCUCGAAAGUAUGGGUAGCAAACAGGAUUUAGAUACCCUGGUAGUCCAUACCGUAAACGAUGAAUGCUAAGUGUUGGAGGGUUUCCGCCCUUUCAGUGCUGCAGCUAACGCAUUAAGCAUUCCCGCCUGGGGGAGUACGGGCCGCAAGGCUGAACUCAAGGGAAUUUGACGGGGGGGUCCGCACAAGCGUGGGAGCAUGUGGUUUAAUUCCGAAGCUACGCGAAGGACCCUUUACCAGUCUUGACUUACUAUGCAAAUCCUAAGAGAUAGACGUUCCCCUUCGGGGAACAUGGAUACAGGGUGGGCGCACAUGGAUGUGUCGCUC
rnacentral:rRNA from 2 species